rnacentral:rRNA from 1 species
CUCCUACGGGAGGCAGCAGUAGGGAAUUUUUCGCCAAGGGCGCAAGUCUGGAGGAGCAAAGCCGCGUGAGUGAUGAAGGCCUUCGGGUCGKAAAACUCUGKUGUUAGGGAAGAACAGGUAUCGGAGUAAUANGCCGGUACUUUGACGGUNCCUGACCAGAAGGCC